rnacentral:rRNA from 1 species
CUUGGGACACUGUCAGGUGGGCAGUUUGACUGGGGCGGUCGCCUCCCAAAAGGUAACGGAGGCGCUCAAAGGUUCUCUCAGUACGGUCGGAAAUCGUACGUAGAGUGUAAAGGCAAAAGAGAGCUUGAUUGCAAGACAUACAGGUCGAGCAAGGAUGAAAAUCGGACUUAGUGAUCCGGUGGUUCUGCGUGGAAGGGCCAUCGCUCAACGGAUAAAAGCUACCCUGGGGAUAACAGGCUUAUCUCCCCCAAGAGUCCACAUCGACGGGGAGGUUUGGCACCUCGAUGUCGGCUCAUCACAUCCUGGGGCUGUAGUAGGUCCCAAGGGUUGGGCUGUUCGCCCAUUAAAGUGGUACGCGAGCUGGGUUCAGAACGUCGUGAGACAGUUCGGUCCCUAUCCGUCGCAGGCGUAGGAAAUUUGAGAAGACCUGUCCUUAGUACGAGAGGACCGGGAUGGACGUACCUCUGGUGUACCAGUUGUCCUGCCAAGGGCAUGGCUGGGUAGCUAUGUACGGAAUGGAUAAGCGCUGAAAGCAUCUAAGCGCGAAGCCAACUUCAAGAUAAGAUUUCCCACCGCAAGGGUAAGACCCCAGAAAGACUAUCUGGUUGAUAGGUCGAAGGUGUAAGUGCAGCAAUGUAUUUAGCUUAUCGAUACUAAUAGGUCGAGGACUUGACCAA